CUUCUUAUCUUUUCUUUCUUCCUCAUCUUCUUCUUUCUCUUUCCUUUCCUUGUUUCUCUGUUUCUGAUCGAGUUUUGAGAUUACAACGAAUCCUAUUUGAGGGUUUCAGUUAUCCAAGAUGAUUAGAUGAAAAAGAUGAUGGCGCUGAAGUUGUUUGAUCUCAGGAAGAAGAUUGCAGGGUUAAUCUUUAUUAACAACGAUCGACUCAAAGGAUGAACCAGUGGAUUGAGGUUCUCGAGGUAGGCAUGGCUUGUCAUCAAAUCAGUUUCAGUAUUCAGAUAAAAAGGCGCACGUGAAGAUAUUCGUUUCUGUAGCGUAAAGUUUCAGCGAAUUGAAGAUGUUUAUUUAUAAUUUUUAUAUUAUACUUUCUCUGUAUACAACACAUGGUUAUAUUCGUAUCACAUGAGAGAUCUUCAUUUCUACUGUAUCAGAGUGUAUGAGUUUGCUUUUGGGCUUAGCUUAUGUAGUCUAGAUUCUUAAGAUCGCUAAUCUAGAUUGUAUGCUUCAAUUAGCUUGUAAUCCUAUUAGCUAAGCAGGUUAAGUACUUGGGGCGUCACAAUUACAGCAAGUUUUAUACUAGAUUAGGUUUAAGUAGUAGUUAUUGAAUCAAAGAUAUCGUUGAAGACUAAUGAUUGAAAAUUACAUGAAGACAUCUAUCUAGAACUUUAUCAAAGUUCAGUAAUAAAUACUUAAUUUUCUUGUU